rnacentral:tRNA from 1 species
GCAAAGGUGGUUCAGUGGUAGACUUCUCGCCUUCCACACUGGAGACCUGGGUUCAACUCCCGGCCAGUGCA